GACGAACGCUGGCGGCGUGCUUAACACAUGCAAGUCGAACGGAAAGACCCUGCUUUUGUGGGGUGCUCGAGUGGCGAACGGGUGAGUAACACGUGAGUAACCUGCCCUUGACUUUGGGAUAACUUCAGGAAACUGGGGCUAAUACCGGAUAGGAGCUCCUGCUGCAUGGUGGGGGUUGGAAAGUUUCGGCGGUUGGGGAUGGACUCGCGGCUUAUCAGCUUGUUGGUGGGGUAGUGGCUUACCAAGGCUUUGACGGGUAGCCGGCCUGAGAGGGUGACCGGCCACAUUGGGACUGAGAUACGGCCCAGACUACUACGGGAGGCAGCAGUGGGGAAUAUUGCACAAUGGGAGGAAGCCUGAUGCAGCAACGCCGCGUGCGGGAUGACGGCCUUCGGGUUGUAAACCGCUUUCGCCUGUGACGAAGCGUGAGUGACGGUAAUGGGUAAAGAAGCACCGGCUAACUACGUG
rnacentral:rRNA from 1 species